GACAGAUUUCCAAGGCUGUGUGACAGCUCUGCCCCAAACCUGCUUGGGCACAUUCACUCCCUGCCUCCAUUUCCCAGUUCUUCUGUUUCUUCAUGGGCAGGGACGGUUUCUCUUUGUGUGGCUGUGCUGUAUCUGGUGUAAUAACAACUCUGCAUUGGUUGGGUGCUGCGUGUAAUGUGUAGGGUUGCAAUGCUUAUGGCUGCAAGGUGUAGGGCUGCAGUGCCUAGGGCUGCAAGGUGUAGGGCUGCAAGGCAUAUGGCUGCAAGGUGUAGGGCUGUAAUGCUUAGGGAUGCAAAGUGCAGGGCUAUGAUGCUUAGGGAUGCAAGUUGUAGGGUUGCAAUGCUUAGGACUGCAAGGUGUAGGGCUGCAAUGCUGAGGGCUGCAAAGUGCAGGGCUACGAUGCUUAGGGAUGCAAGGUGUAGGGCUGCAAGGUGUAGGGCUGCAAGGUGUAGGGCUGCAAUGCUUAGGAAUGCAAGAUGUAGGGCUGCAGUGCUUAAGGCUGCAAGGCAUAUGGCUGCAAGGUGUAGGGCUGCAAUGCUUAGGACCACAGUGUGCAAUAGCUGUUGGAGAGGGGAUGUUGCAGCACCUGUGAGCCGUGUGUGCAGUUCACAGUGCCUCUGGGAAGUAGCUAUGCCACCUCUCUUUGAGACAGGGACAGCAGUGAAGCCAUAUGGUGUUUAUCGUCUUUGCCAACACACAAAGGAGGGGAAUAACCCCUGAAGGAACGUGG
rnacentral:lncRNA from 1 species